GUGGGGAAUAUUGGGCAAUGGGCGAAAGCCUGACCCAGCAACGCCGCGUGAAGGAAGAAGGCUUUCGGGUUGUAAACUUCUUUGACAGGGGAAGAGUAGAAGACGGUACCCUGAAAACAAGCCACGGCUAACUACGUGCCAGCAGCCGCGGUAAUACGUAGGUGGCAAGCGUUGUCCGGAUUUACUGGGUGUAAAGGGCGUGCAGCCGGGCAGACAAGUCAGAUGUGAAAUCCAGAGGCUCAACCUCUGGACUGCAUUUGAAACUGUUUGUCUUGAGUAUCGGAGAGGUAACCGGAAUUCCUAGUGUAGCGGUGAAAUGCGUAGAUAUUCGGAAGAACACCAGUGGCGAAGGCGACACACUGGCUCAUUACUGACGCUGAGGCGCGAAAGCGUGGGGAGCAAACAGGAUUAGAUACCCGAGUAGUCC
rnacentral:rRNA from 1 species